rnacentral:lncRNA from 1 species
GACCUUAUAAAAAAUAAAUAAAUAAGUUAAAUAUUUAAGGCCAAGGGUUGAACUUUAGUUUUAAUAAUUUAAGGUCUCAAGUUUAACAAUUAAAUUAAAAAUUUACUUAAAAUUUAAAUAUCAUAUUUUAUAUUUAUAAAUAAAUGAAACUUUUUUAUGCUUACUUCAGAUUAAAUUGUAGUUCUCUCAACCCUGUAGUUCUUUUGCUACCUACCUUUUCUUCCUUUACUGGCCGUGUGCUAUUUCUAAUAUUAGGGGUUGGUUUUCAUCUUUUUCAUACUCAUCUCUUUACGUGGAGAUAGUAGUCUCUUUUGAUUAUUUACUAUGUUGGUUAGGCUCUGUACCUUUAAUUUUACCACACAGCAUGGAGUCCUUUUUUUUUUUAAUGGCAAAUAUAUAUAUAAAAUAACGGAAGUCAAAUAGAAUUAGAGUUAUGGGUUCGGACCCGUCAUUUCAUCUUGUGUAUGUGAG